GGCAGUGCUAUAACACUAAAGGUAGUCUCUUCUAGACUCCUCUUGUCCAGCAAACUUUGCUCAUGUCUCUGGGGUGAAGCUCCCCGGGGGCUCACCUGGAGCCUCCUCCAGCCCAGCACAUCGCCCUGCGUGAUACCGCUCAGGAUGACUGCCUCCCAGGUGCAGAUUGAGCCAAGCAGACCAGAUGCAUUGGAGAAACAUGAUGCUGCACUACACAGAAGAAAACAUGACUGGGCCGCAAGAUGGCUCAGCAGCUAAAGGCACUUGCUGGCAAGUCUGACCACCUGAGUUCAAUUCCUGGGACUCACGGGGCAGAGAAGAGAACCAGUGUCUGCAAGACAUCUUCUGACCUUCACAUGCACAUUGUGGUACACACACAC